AUAGGGAAGUUGCUAAGACUCAGUGCCAGGCAUCUGCAAGGCAGCUAGGGCAGCAUAAGAUCAUUUCAGAAUGAAGAUGCUUUGGGAUCUGACUUCGGACUGUAAGAAUGACAAACUCUGAAUGGGUGCAAAGGUAGCAGAUGACCUUCAAAGGAUGGUGAGAUUAAAUUUACCUACACCUAGAGAAAUAAUUGGAGCACAUGUCUAUUUGGGCCAAGAGGAUAAAGGCCAGUAGAGGAAUCAGAUCAAAGAACUUCCUCAGGGAAGUGUGCAGAGAACUGGAGUGGACCUUCCCCUAGGAAGCUGCCCAAAACGAGAGUGCUGGAAAGCUGGCCGCAGUGAGGCACUUCAGAUCCCAAGGGUAUGCUGGGGAAGCUGCCACAGGUGGGAGCACUUGCUGCUGGACCCUAGGCACUGUUGAAACAACUGCACCAUCUGCAGGAGCCCAGCAAGAGGUGCCUUCAGCCAUGAUUAUAAGUUUCCUGAGGCCUCCCCAGCCAUAAGAAACUAAAGAACUUGUUUGCAUCCCUGCUAGACAAAAACCUACAAGUUAACCUUUGCCCGUAUGGAGUUGUAAAACAGACCAGUUGAUAGAAAGAGAAGCCUGCUUCCCGAAGCCCUCAGCAGAAGCCGAGCAGAUGUUGGCACCAUGCUUCUUGUACAGCCUGCAGAACUUGAAGAAACACUCCAUAUUAGUUUUCUGGAGCCAUCGUUAUGAAGCAACACAGACUGGGUGGCAUAAACAAUGGAGAUUUAUUUUUUCACAAUUCCGGAGGCUAGAAGUUUGAGAUCAAGGUGUUGGAAAGUGUCUCAGGAUGAUACAUACCGGUUUUUAACUUUGGUGUCAUCAAAUGCAAUUGCAAUGUGACUGUUUCUUGAAAGCCCGAACUGCUUGCUCCCUAUCAAAAGAGCUGGUUCUGAUUCUGCAGCACAAGGACCCUGUAAAAUACCCAGGAGAGAAAAACAGGAGAUUAUGGACUGUUCUUUAAAAAGUGCAAGGAGCACAUUGCUCAACCAAUUCCAUCGUGGACACUAAGGAAGAGAAUGAGAUAUUCAAGAGUUUUCAAGAUCUGCACUCAAGACAACAUUGCCCACCCAUUACUGGUAUGGAAUAUAACCACAACACAUGAGCUGUAAAGAGUGUAGUGACUGUGACCAUCUUUGUUGUAUUGGUGAUAAGAAUGUAAAUUGGCAUAGCCUGUGGAAGAAACAAUUCAGGUAUGUGUAUUGAAAACCUUAGACAUAUUCAUCUUUUGGCCUUAUAAUUUCCUAACUACUUAUCUAUUUUAAGAAUAACUGGAAAUAAUGAAAAAGCUUGAUGCAUAGAGGAGCUCAUCAGAGUAUAGUUUCUAAUAGUGAAAAACUGGAAACACUCUCAAUAGCCUACCAUGGUCUAUUAAAAGUAGAAUAAAUUGGAAAGGCAGAGUGUUCCAGAGAUAAGGAGUCAGACUUUGGAGUCUGACUCGCUAGAAUAAAAUUCUUACUCUGCCUUUUACUAGUGGUGUGAGUGGGUUGGUUGCUUAAGAUAGCUAAUUCUUAUUAACUCGACUAAAAGUAGAAAGACUAUAUUUUACAGAGCCGUUAUGAGAAUUACAUAUAAUAUUGAAUGAAAAUUGUUUAGCCCUGGGCUGGUGAAAGUACUCAUUAUUAUCAUUACUACAUAGUACUUAUGCCAUUUAUUAAACGUUCAGUAUAUGUGAGUCAUUGAACAAACAUUAUCUUUUAAAACUCUGAUACAAAGUCUUUGAUGUCUGUGCUGUUAAUAUCCUCAUUUGACAGAUGAGGAAACAGAAAUAGUCUAUGGCCAAAUCACCCUGAAAGCAUCCGAUCUUUUCUGAUCUCAAAAGCUAAGCAGGGUUGGGCCCGGUUAGUACUUGGAUGGGAAACUGAGAAAUAGAUUGGACAGGUAGCUUUCCCAAAUUCACACAGAUGGUCGGUUACAGUGCUGGGAUUUGAAUACCAGCAGUCUGACUUGAGCCCAUGCUCUAAUCAAGGCUAUAUGACCUCCAAUACUAUAAAAUAGUUGUGUGUCUCUGUGUGUAUAUAUACUUAACAUAAAAUCAUAUUAGACAUACACAUUUAUAUGAUGUUUAGAUACAGUUUUUAUUUAUUUAUUUAUUUUUAUUUUUUGGAGAUGGAGUCUCGCUCUGUUGCCCAGGCUGGAGUACAGUGGCGUGAUCUCGGCUCACUGCAACCUCCGCCUCCUGGGUUCAAGCGAUUCUCCUGCCUCAGCCUACUGAGUAGCUGGGACUACAGGUGCACACCGCCAUGCCAGGCUAUUUUUUUGUAUUUUAGAAGAGACGGGGUUUCACCGUGGUUGCCCAGGCUGGUCUCGAACUCCUGAGCUCAGGCAAUCUGCCUGCCUUGGCCUCCCAAAGUGCUAGGAUUACAGGCGUGAGCCACCGCGCCUGGCCUAGAAACAGUUUUAGUGGUGUAUUACUAGUUUCUAAAAACAGGACACCAAAUUGUAUACAAGGUAGGACAUCUACUAUGCAGAUAAAAGGGCCUGGAAACCAACAUGGUUGCCUCUGUCAUGGUAUUAUAAGUGUCUUUUAUUCAUGAUUCUGGAUAUUUCUGUGUUUUCCAACAUUUCAACUGAAAAUGUACUGUUUUGUAAACAAAAUUGAAGAUGGAAAUAUAGGUAAGUCAUUCAAUGAAGAUGUAAGAAUAGGUUUAGAUAGGUUAUAUUUCUUUCAAUUCUAAUAUCAGAGUGUACUAGAUAUCCUGAAUAAUCUUCCUUCUGAAAUGACUCAGAAUACUGGGUAAAAAUUAGAAAGCAAUGGGGAUAAUAUAAACACUUACAUGUGUCAGAACUGGGGUGGGCGUAGGAAAGGCUGGGGUGGGAACUGGCUCAGGCUGGAUAACUAUUUCAGCUGGAGCUGCUCCAUCUUCAUCUUCACGGAGUUUCUGAUGGGCACAGCGACCAAUGUCAGCAUUUUUGAAGGACACAGGCCUUGCAAAGUCCAUGGGGCUAAUAGAAUGUAAUAAAUAAGAUUUUUUUAUUUUCGUUUUUUUGCUUCCUUACAAUUAAGCCCAAUCCCCGCAUGCCUUUUUAAGUCCAUUAGUGUGCUUUUCUCAGUCUAAGUUGAAGAUCCUCAUUGUUUCCCUCCUCCCCUGCAUAGCUGUAGACAAUGUAGAUGCAUUGGGACCCCUAAUAGCAAGAAAUAAAAAUAAAAAAUUAGUAGUAGUAAUGAGGAGAUCCACUUACACAGAGUUAAUAACAAGAUUCCAUAUGCAGCCUUCAAAAGGAGGAAUAUUUCUGAGUGGGGAAGGUUGAAAUUCAGGUGGAGCACCCCCAACGAAAAGCUUUUUAACUUCGAUAGGCUGUUCAACUGUCAGGUUUUGCAUGUAUCUUCUGUUUUCAUCCACUUGAACUGUAAAGAUG
ensembl:lncRNA novel transcript